CCUAACAAGCGCCGACGUACGUCUCCUGUCGUUGCACACGCCCUAUCUCUCUUUCAUCCCUCUCUCGCCACUCCCUCCCCCGCCGCCCUCCUCUUCGCUGCCCCCGCCACUGCCACUGCCCAGACCACAUCACCACACCCGCUCGCCAACCAGCUUCCCCACAACCUCGUGAACGAACUGCAUCUCCCCGUCGACGCCUACGGCUGGACUAGCCCAGUGGCCGGCGUCAUCACAGUGUCGGACGUGAUCAAUACGACCAAACUCUGGACAUGGAAGGGGCUCCAGGCCUCCAACGAACAAAGCUGCUUCACCGACACCGACCACAUGAUGCAGUUGACGCAAGGAGUCACACAUCCGUCUUGAUCCCCCUUCUCGCCUUCAUUCUCUGCUAAUUACCUUCUUCUCGUGUUAUUAAUUCCUUGGUACAAUCAAUAUGCAUGCUGUGGGUAGAUGCUUCAAUUAGUUACCCUAAAGUCCAACCGCAUAGUGGCGGACCCAGAAAUUGAAGAUAGCCUAGGCGAGAUUAUCUAAUGCUAACAAUUAUAGCUGAUUUUAUAUAAGAAGACAUGUGCAUUUGAUUUUGAUGUGCAUUUUUAUCCGGUGAGGCAGCCCAGGCUGUGGCCUGUGGUGCCUGGCUAGGGCGUCCGCCACUGCAACCGCAUCACACAGAUGGAGGAGUCGCUCGUCGCCGGCAAGACGUUCAACCAAGAACAGGAGGAGGUUACCAGCUCCAAGCCCAUCGUCGUGAUUCUGAUCGACGAGCUCGAGCACCUCAGUACCCGCUCGCAUCAGCUCUCGCGGAGGAGCUCUCUCCUCAUCGCCUAAGUGUGACAACUACCUCUGCGAUGCAAACCGUAGUGGCAAGCUGCCAAACAAACUUUACUUGCUGGUGGCGUAGUUCUUUCUGGUAGAGGUCUGGGCUCUGGAGACAAUGGUAGUGAAUUCAUUGGAGAAAGGGGUUUUGUUUCCUUUCUUCUUUGGGAGGCGAAGUGGGUUGGAGCCAGAGAGUCCCUAAUUUUUUAGUGCAUUUUGUUGCAGAAGAGCCACAUGAUGACUACAACAAGCCACCUAGUUGGAACUCUCACUUCAAGAUGGCACUCGACUCUGCUCGUGCACUCGAGUAAGUGGAAUUGAGGAAAUAAAGUACAUAUUUUUUCCUUAAUAUGGAUUCACGAAUUUUGGUAUUGAAUAUGUGUGCUCAUUAGUACUAUACAUGAUUUUAAAUAUUGUAGAAAUUUCCC